rnacentral:lncRNA from 1 species
GGGUUAUAUAUGGGUGCAUAAGGAUUGUUCACUGGUUUCUGAUAUGUGGCAUUUACCUGUACACAUCUAUUUUCUAUUGGAUUCAUCAGGAAGGGACAAUCCUCAAGGACAUGGUCGGGUGCACUAUAUGUGUUGCACAUGGGUGCAGAAAUUUGGUUUACACUGGCUGGUCUUUGUAGCUUUAAGGUAUCUAACCUACGUGUUAACGUUG